rnacentral:rRNA from 1 species
UACGUAGGUGGCAAGCGUUGUCCGGAUUUACUGGGCGUAAAGAGCUCGUAGGCGGUUUGUCGCGUCGAAUGUGAAAACCCGGGGCUCAACCCCGGGCCUGCAUUCGAUACGGGCAGACUAGAGUUCGGUAGGGGAGUCUGGAAUUCCUGGUGUAGCGGUGAAAUGCGCAGAUAUCAGGAGGAACACCGGUGGCGAAGGCGGCAUCCUGGACCGGCAUUGACGCUGAGGCGCGAAAGCUAGGGGAGCAAACGGG